CCUACGGGUGGCAGCAGUGGGGAAUAUUGGGCAAUGGGCGUAAGCCUGAUCCAGCCAAGUCGCGUGAGGGAUGAAGGUUCUAUGGAUCGUAAACCUCUUUUAUAAGGGAAUAAAGUGUGGGACGUGUCCUGUUUUGUAUGUACCUUAUGAAUAAGGAUCGGCUAACUCCGUGCCAGCAGCGGCGGUAAUACGGAGGAUCCGAGCGUUAUCCGGAUUGAUUGGGUUUAAAGGGUGCGUAGGCGGACUUUUAAGUCAGCGGUGAAAGUUUGUGGCUCAACCAUAGAAUUGCCGUUGAAACUGGGAGGCUUGAGUAUGUUUGAGGCAGGCGGAAUGCGUGGUGUAGCGGUGAAAUGCUUAGAUAUCACGCAGAACCCCGAUUGCGAAGGCAGCCUGCCAAGCCAUGACUGACGCUGAUGCACGAAAGCGUGGGGAUCAAACAGGAUUAGAUACCCGAGUAGUC
rnacentral:rRNA from 1 species